GAGAGCAGCGCGCUGUUUCGGGCUUUCUGCAGCUCCGGUGUUGCGACAGCGUGAGUGUGUGAGUGUGUGAGUUCGUGAGCGUGUGUGUUGGGGUAGAGGAUGAGGCUGAGGAUGAGGACGCGCAGAGGAACGCUGUUAAUGUGUUAGAAAAGAUGAUGAGGAGCCCGACAUCAGCUGCUCAACACUGCACACCGCGGAGACGCUCACCUUCUACAGGUACGAGGAAGAAUCCGUGGUGAGGUGUUAUGCGCUGAGGGUUCGAACAUGCACACGGGAAAAUCGGAAGUGCGCAUCCGCUCGAAGUGCGCCGCGCUCUUGGGAAUGCUCGGUCACCAUCACGGGUUUGCCGACGUCGCCGAUCUCACGGAUCUGUGCUGGAAACAGGACGAGCGCGUGGAGCGCCUACAGGACGCCGACUUCCUCCGUGCGAAAACGGCGGCGGCCCAGGAGAAGGCGCAGCCGAUUAAAUCUCACACGGCGAGCUUCUGCAUGGCUCCAGGACAAGGACAAGAAUGAACUCCACAGGAGGAGUAACCCACUUGGAGGAACGCGCUAUCCGCCCUCUUCCGCAUACAUGAGCGCACGGGAUCGCCCGGUGAUUG
ensembl:lncRNA